rnacentral:tRNA from 2 species
GGAGGAUUCGCCUAGUGGCCUAUGGCGCUCGCUUGGAAAGCGAGUUGGGGGCAACCCCUCGCGGGUUCAAAUCCCGCAUCCUCCGCCA